AUCCAGCUGACGAGUCCUAAAUAAGACGAAACAUGUGCCGUGGAU
rnacentral:hammerhead_ribozyme from 1 species